GGCGGCAUGCCUUACACAUGCAAGUCGAACGGCAGCACGGGUGCUUGCACUGGUGGCGAGUGGCGAACGGGUGAGUAAUACAUCGGAACAUGUCCUGUAGUGGGGGAUAGCCCGGCGAAAGCCGGAUUAAUACCGCAUACGAUCUAUGGAUGAAAGCGGGGGACUUCGGGCCUCGCGCUAUAGGGUUGGCCGAUGGCUGAUAGCUAGUUGGUGGGGUAAAGGCCUACCAAGGCGACGAUCAGUAGCUGGUCUGAGAGGACGACCAGCCACACUGGGACUGAGACACGGCCCAGACUCCUACGGGAGGCAGCAGUGGGGAAUUUUGGACAAUGGGCGAAAGCCUGAUCCAGCAAUGCCGCGUGUGUGAAGAAGGCCUUCGGGUUGUAAAGCACUUUUGUCCGGAAAGAAAUCCUUGGCUCUAAUACAGUCGGGGGAUGACGGUACCGGAAGAAUAAGCACCGGCUAACUACGUGCCAGCAGCCGCGGUAAUACGUAGGGUGCAAGCGUUAAUCGGAAUUACUGGGCGUAAAGCGUGCGCAGGCGGUUUGCUAAGACCGAUGUGAAAUCCCCGGGCUCAACCUGGGAACUGCAUUGGUGACUGGCAGGCUAGAGUAUGGCAGAGGGGGGUAGAAUUCCACGUGUAGCAGUGAAAUGCGUAGAGAUGUGGAGGAAUACCGAUGGCGAAGGCAGCCCCCUGGGCCAAUACUGACGCUCAUGCACGAAAGCGUGGGGAGCAAACAGGAUUAGAUACCCUGGUAGUCCACGCCCUAAACGAUGUCAACUAGUUGUUGGGGAUUCAUUUCCUUAGUAACGUAGCUAACGCGUGAAGUUGACCGCCUGGGGAGUACGGUCGCAAGAUUAAAACUCAAAGGAAUUGACGGGGACCCGCACAAGCGGUGGAUGAUGUGGAUUAAUUCGAUGCAACGCGAAAAACCUUACCUACCCUUGACAUGGUCGGAAUCCUGAAGAGAUUCGGGAGUGCUCGAAAGAGAACCGGCGCA
rnacentral:rRNA from 1 species